CGCCAACCCUAUGCCCGCAUGCCGCUUCUCCAGGCAAUGGAGGACGAAUGUGGGGACAUAGAGGUUGCCUCUGUCCAAGGUUGGAUACGCCAUGCUAGGAGAUACUUCCCUCCAUGUGGGGACAUAGAGGUUGCCUCUGUCCAAGGUUGGAUACGCCAUGCUAGGAGAUACUUCCCUCCAUGUGGGGACAUAGAGGUUGCCUCUGUCCAAGGUUGGACACGCCAUGCUAGGAGAUACUUCCCUCGAUGUUUGGCAAGAGAAAACAUAUCUUGUGAUGUGGACAAAGUAUUGUGGCCAGACCCAGGCCGGAGAAGAGAUGAAGCGUAGCUUAGCACUGGUG
ensembl:lncRNA